rnacentral:tRNA from 1 species
GCCCUCGGGCGUUCAGUGGAAGAACACCUCCGUCCUAAGGAGGGUGUCGGGAGUUCGAAUCUCUCCGAGGGUU